CUAGGGAGCUGCACUCAGGUGUAGCAGGCGGCCGGGGACCCGAAAGAUGGCGAUCCACGCCCGAUCGGGACGAAGCCAGAGGAAACUCUGGUGAAAGUCCGAAGCGCCUCUGACGUGCAAAUCGAUCGUCGGAACCGGGUGUAGGGGCGAAAGACCAAUCGAGCCGUCUAGUAGCUGGUUCCCUCCGAAGUUUCCCUCAGGAUAGCUGGCGCCAGCGGGAGAACGACACGCAAUUCCGUACGGCAAA
rnacentral:ncRNA from 1 species